rnacentral:rRNA from 1 species
AACUGCGUUUAGACGUAAAACUGCGUUUAGAUGCAAAACUGCGUUUAGACGUAAAACUGCGUUUAGACGUAAAACUUCGUUUAGACGCAAAACUGCGUUUAGACGUAAAACUGCGUUUAGACGUAAAACUGCGUUUAGACGCAAAACUGCGUUUAGACGUAAAACUGCACUUAGACGUAAAACUGCACUUAGACGUAAAACUGCGUUUAGACACAAACAGCGCUCAAACGCAAACUGCGCUUAGACGCAAACUGCGCUCAAACGCAAACUGCGCUUAGACGCAAACUGCGCUUAAACGCAAACUGUGUUUAGACGCAAACUGCGCUUAGACGCAAACUGUGUUUAGACGCAAACUGUGUUUAGACGCAAACUGUGUUUAGACGCAAUCUGCGCUUAGACGCAAACUGCGCUUAAAUGCAAACUGCGCUUAGACGCAAUCUGCAUUUAGACGCAAACUGCAUUUAGACGCAAACUGCGUAAACUACAAACUAUGAAUCGGCAUUUACAUCGAAAUCGUUUUUAUCGGUCGAACGCGGCUUUUGUUUUUAAAUCGCUGAAAGUUUUCCGCUGCACUAAUUCACCCCCCCCCCUCUUAGUGCUCUCGAUCCUAACACACCGGUCGUCCCAUCCCUUCUGUCGGCGAUGCGUGCCUGGCCUUAACUGGCCGGGUCGUGCCUCCAGCGCUGUUACUUUGAAGAAAUUAGAGUGCUCAAAGCAAGCCCACGCUCUGGAUAUAUUAGCAUGGGAUAACAUCACAGGAUUUCGGUCCUAUUGUGUUGGCCUUCGGGAUCGGAGUGAAGAUUAAGAGGGACAGUCGGGGGCAUUCAUAUUUCACAGUCAGAGGUGAAAUUCUUGGAUUUAUGAAAGACGAACCACUGCGAAAGCAUUUGCCAAGGAUGUUUUCAUUAAUCAAGAACGAAAGUUGGGGGCUCGAAGACGAUCAGAUACCGUCCUAGUCUCAACCAUAAACGAUGCCAACCAAGGAUCGACGGAUGUUGCUCUUAGGACUCUACCGGCACCUUAUGAGAAAUCAAAGUCUUUGGGUUCCGGGGGGAGUAUGGUCGCAAGGCUGAAACUUAAAGGAAGUGACGGAAGGGCACCACCAGGAGUGGAGCCUGCGGCUUAAUUUGACUCAACACGGGGAAACUUACCAGGUCCAGACAUAGCAAGGAUUGAUAGACUGAGAGCUCUUUCUUGAUUCUAUGGGUGGUGGUGCAUGGCUGUUCUUAGUUGGUGGAGCGAUUUGUUUGGUUAAUUCUGAUAACGAACGAGACCUCAGCUUGCUAACUAGCUACGCGGAGGCAUCCCUCCGCGGCUAGCUUCUUAGAGGGACUAUGGCCGUUUAGGCCACGGAAGUUUAAGGCAAUAACAGGUCUGUGAUGCCCUUAGAUGUUUUGGGCCGCACGCACGCUACACUGAUGUAUUCAACGAGUCUAUAGCCUUGGCCGUCAUAUCAUUGCAAUUGUUGGUCUACAACGAGGAAUUCCUAGUAAGCGCGAGUCAUCAGCUCGCGUUGACUACGUCCCUGCCCUUUGUACACACCGCCUGUCGCUCCUACCGAUUGAAUGGUCUGGUGAAGUGUUCGGAUCGAGGCGACGGGGGCGGCUCGCCGCCCGCGACGUCGCGAGAAGUCCACUGAACCUUAUCAUUUAGAGGAAGGAGAAGUCGUAACAAGGUUUCCGUAGGUGAACUUGUGGAAG